GUAGUCAUAUGCUUGUCUCAAAGAUUAAGCCAUGCAUGUCUAAGUAUAAGCAAUCUAUACAGUGAAACUGCGAAUGGCUCAUUAAAUCAGUUAUCGUUUAUUUGAUAGUAACUCACUACUUGGAUAACCGUGGUAAUUCUAGAGCUAAUACAUGCUAAAAGCCCUGACCUCUGGAAGGGGCGUAUUUAUUCGAUAAAAAACCAAUGGCUUCGGCCUCCUUGGUGAUUCAUGAUAACUUUACGAAUCGCAUGGCCUUGUGCCGGCGAUGGUUCAUUCAAAUUUCUGCCCUAUCAACUUUCGAUGGUAGGAUAGUGGCCUACCAUGGUUUCAACGGGUAACGGGGAAU
rnacentral:rRNA from 1 species